ACAUUCACCCCACGAAUUCUAACUGGCGUCCCAGUGCAAAUGCCACAAGCUUGCUCAAACUCGAACACAGCCAAGUACUUCCUGAACUUCGACCGCAACUGAAACCCUCUCAACCAAGCCAAGGUAAGCGCCAGCAAAACUGCUCCUGAAACCAAAAAAAUCCCGACCCCACCUUCCCAAAUGCUCCUCCUCCCAAACCCAAAAUCACUCAAUGGCCGCAGAGUCUGCCUCCAAAUGUUCUUAGGAAUGUCCAAAACAACUGCUAACGGAUUCUUUGGUUCAGAAGAUGAUGCAGGUUGCUGUUGGCCACUACCCGUAUUCGCAGAUGAUGUAGCUUUUACACUAAAGACUCCAUUUUUAGGCCUUCUAGAUAUACUUAGGCAUGGAACAAAGUUCAGGGAGCCCUUUUGAGAAAUGGGGUUUAUUAAAUAUGAAGGAAAUAGGACAGAGCUAGCAGCUGAAACAUGGAUAAUCGAAUUCCCCACCAUUCUUGGGUUAAUCUGUCUAUUUACACAGCUCCAAUAUCAAUUGUAAGACAAACAUUCAAAACUUUCUCGGGAACCCAUGUUUACUUGGAGAAGUGCUUUUCAAGGAAUAUUAUUAUAAGCCCUCCCUAAAUUCACCAUUACUUUGCUUAAAGUGCUUUCAAUCCUGUUCAGGUCAAAAAUAACCUUUAUGUAGUCGUAAAUGCCACAUCAGAUGUCAAUAUUUUAUUUCUUUUCAUCAUUUCUGCAGCUUGCAUGAAUUUGAACUUAAAAGAAGUUGGAACACAUCAACCAACAUACCAUGCAGAUGCAUGUUUGCUGGUGACAUCAACAAUAUUAAUAAUUGUCAACUAAUCAGUAGCAGUGCACACCUAGAGAGGAUAAGGAACUUGCAGCAAGAAAGAAGAGCAUUCAACUUUCUAAUUUGAUAAUACAGAGGAGCAGGAAGUGAGACAAAUCAUUUAUCUUGGUGCUCUAAAACCUACUUAUAUGAAGAGCAUGCAUGUGGCUCCGGAAGAAAGCCAAGAUUGUGCAACAUCUGAUAAUCACGAAAAAAUUGAACAAGGAAACAAUAAAUACCUCACUAAGCAAAGAUCUUUUAGGCCUUGGGGUAUGAUCCAAAAAAUCAAUCCACCCAGAAAACAAGCGUCCAUUUAUGGAAAGCUUUUCCAUGUUACCCAUUGAAACCAACACCUUAUGCACAUGUACAAACACAAAGAGGACCAGUUCAAACCACAAAUAUGACUAAGGUUGGACUUUUACCGCAUGUCCUCAGAGGCUUGUGUCAGGCUUUUCAUUAAACUCUCAGCUUCCUUCAGCAAACCACUAUCUCGAACUUCUGCCAGCAAAGGUUGAACAUCUUCAGUCAUGGCUUUGAUCUGAAACAUCACUAAAUCACAAACAAGAAACAGUAUGCAUGAGUAUUCAGUAGAUUAACUGUCAGAAAAGACACUAAAUUUAAUCACACCUCACAUAAGGCGAAGUCUUGCUAGCACAUGCCAAAAUCACAGGCCAUUCUACAAACACUACAUUGUAAUCCAUGAUCAAUUAUAGCAUCAUUCAAAGGAUGACGCCUGAGCCAUGUCCAAUGCUUAACCGCCAUACUAGGAAUCUAUUUACCAAAUACAAAGGCAAUCAACAGACAAGGAAUGUCAUUUUUCAGCAAGAAGACUGGCAAAACUGACAGCUUUAAUUACAGCAAAAACAACCGCCAAUAGUAGGAGGUUUCUUAGACAACCCAGUAACACAAGCACAGAAAUAUCUACCGUAAAAACUCAGAACACCAAGGUUAUUUGGAUACUUACAACAUAUGCAUGACAGCAUUUACAAAUUCCUGAAAUUAACUCAGCUCGCUAACCUAAAGUUGUCAGAAUGACUAUGACUGACUUUCUGAAGAAUACUCGCUUAAACAACUUAACAGACCUUUCCAUUUAAAAAGAGUAUGCCAAGGGUAUCACAAACAUAACCCUGAAUUUCUCCUGUUCACAUUUCCACAUUUCAAGAGAUGUUAUUGCAAAACUUGACAUCUGCACCUCUCAAAAAGCAGCAAGAGAUGUUAUCGCAGCAAAAUUUCCACAUUUCAAGUUAUUCAGCCCUGAUGGUUCUUUAUACAAAUACGAGAACUCAUUAUCCAGAACAGGAUUAAACCAUUUGUUCCCAAAACUAUCUUUGGCACUCUUGUAAGCUCUGCCAAAGCCUUCAAAGCACUUUUCUAACCUAAUUACAUGACGAAAUUAACACACUUUAUGCAUUUUCUGCCAAGAGACUUUUCAAGUAUCAAGUUUUAAUGUGUUAACUAACUCAUACUAUAAUAAACAAAUAAGAAAGAAGUUAAUUCUUGCAAGUUGCAACAUUAAAAGAGAAUCAAAUAACAUAAAUUAAUGUUGUUUCGCUGAAAAAUGAAUAUUUGAAUUUCUUCUGUUCAGUAUGCAUUAAAAACAUAUACUGAUCUCUUGUGGCCAUAUGAGACUGCUGGGGCAUCAGCUAAUAUUUUCCAAUAUGACUUAAUACCCGCCAUGCAUUUCCCAGGAGUACAAUCAUGUUUGAAAAUCACUUGUGACCUCCACGCCCUAGCCCUGAUUUGAACCCAUUUAAAUCUUAUUUUAAACAUAUCAGUACUGAAUUCUGAAUUCUAAAAGUUGAAAAGCAUAUUAUUCUGUAAAAUUCAGGUAGGAAUUGCACGCCAUAAAUAAGUAGAUACACCAAAAACAAUACAAUACAUUUUGCACUGAAUAUUAAAGCUAUCAGCAAACAGAAGCUUUGCUAAUCAAAUCCUACAAAAUUGAAAAGUUGGUUUAAGCAGCAGAAUAUAUACCCCUUUCAUUAGUUGUAAAAUGUAAGAUUUCAAUAACAUUUAUCCCAUAAAUGACUUUUCAAACAACUUUAACCAGAGCUUUUUGUGGCUUCCCAUUUAUAUGCAAAAGUAUCAUAGAACCCUAUAUCACUAAGUUGGUUUUGAAGUAGUUUAAAAGAACCUGUUCUUCUAUAGACAAUGUUGUAGACAUUUAUAACUCUCUAAAGGGUCGACAACAGGUCAUGCACUUCAAUUGUAUCCAUAUUUAUACAUGUUAAGGAAUUUUCAUGCAAUUUUGUCAUAUCAGUUUUGGUAAACUAAAACGUCAUAGCUUCCUUUCUGGAUAACCUCAAGUUGAUACCUGCAAAAAUUUUUCACACAAAACUCGAAAUAGAGAAUAAAAUGUUCCAUCUAAAGAGAUAGACAGACUAAAUAACAACUCAACCCAUUAGAGAUCAACCAACCCAAUUAAGUAACAAAAGCACGCAUUUCGAACCUUUGAAAGGAGCGGUUGUGCCUCUUCAAUAACAACAGCAAACCGCUCAGCUAGUGAAUAUGUAUUUGCUAAACCUAUUCCUUCCGCUUCACGCCCAAGGCGAGUGAAUAUCCCAACCAAUGCAUCCAAGCUGACGCCUUGAUAUCCCUUUAUCUUUUGCCGGUCACACACGAUUAGGCCCUCCUUGACACAGUGUGGAUCAAGAGGCCCUAUAGAAGGAGUUGGGAUUGGAUUUCGAGGCGUUAUAUCAAUCAAAGUUUCCAUGAGCAGUCCAGACUGAUUCACCUCAACCAAUGAAUUACGCGGGAUUAUUACCUUAUCAUCAUCAACCUACAAUCACAAGAAAAUUCAACAACCAAAUUUUAAACCACAUAUCACAUAUACAUAUUAAAAAUCAACAAAUUCACUGACAUUUCACCUCAACCACAGCUUCAAUACUAUUCAAUGAAGGAUUAACCCGAAUUACACUGCCAACAUUCACCCCACGAAUUCUAACUGGCGUCCCAGUGCAAAUGCCACAAGCUUGCUCAAACUCGAACACAGCCAAGUACUUCCUGAACUUCGACCGCAACUGAAACCCUCUCAACCAAGCCAAGGUAAGCGCCAGCAAAACUGCUCCUGAAACCAAAAAAAUCCCGACCCCACCUUCCCAAAUGCUCCUCCUCCCAAACCCAAAAUCACUCAAUGGCCGCAGAGUCUGCCUCCAAAUGUUCUUAGGAAUGUCCAAAACAACUGCUAACGGAUUCUUUGGUUCAGAAGAUGAUGCAG
rnacentral:lncRNA from 1 species